rnacentral:rRNA from 1 species
AGCGAACGCUGGCGGCAGGCUUAACACAUGCAAGUCGAGCGGGCCCUUCGGGGUCAGCGGCGGACGGGUGAGUAACGCGUGGGGACGUGCCCUCUGGUCUGGAAUAACCCUGGGAAACUAGGGCUAAUACCGGAUACGCCCUUUUGGGGAAAGGCUUGCUGCCGGAGGAUCGGCCCGCGUCUGAUUAGCUAGUUGGUGGGGUAACGGCCUACCAAGGCGACGAUCAGUAGCUGGUCUGAGAGGAUGAUCAGCCACACUGGGACUGAGACACGGCCCAG